rnacentral:tmRNA from 1 species
CCCCUUCCAAUAGCUUUUCUUUCAGAUUAUAUUAUUUUUGUUGGGCAACCAACUAUGACGAUAAACACUGUUCGAAAUAAUCGUUACGGACCCGGGGGCAGUGCCCGGCGCCUCCACCAUUUUUCCUCUAUGGAGGAUCAACUUUGGGGGCGAAACAGGAUCGACGUGCGUGGUAAAGGUUCAGCUUUCGUUCGGUAUGGUAACCACCGUCAUCGGGCCAAACAAAGAAAUGCCAACGAUAAUGAGGCAUUUGCAGUAGCAGCCUAACGGCUCUUACUACGGGGUUCGAGGGGCACCUGGCAACAGAAGCCCCUCACU